rnacentral:rRNA from 1 species
GUACACUCCUGCGGGAGGCAGCAGUGGGGAAUAUUGGACAAUGGGCGCAAGCCUGAUCCAGCCAUGCCGCGUGAGUGAUGAAGGCCCUAGGGUUGUAAAGCUCUUUCACCGGUGAAGAUAAUGACGGUAACCGGAGAAGAAGCCCCGGCUAACUUCGUGCCAGCAGCCGCGGUAAUACGAAGGGGGCUAGCGUUGUUCGGAUUUACUGGGCGUAAAGCGCACGUAGGCGGACUAUUAAGUCAGGGGUGAAAUCCCGGGGCUCAACCCCGGAACUGCCUUUGAUACUGGUAGUCUUGAGUUCGAGAGAGGUGAGUGGAAUUCCGAGUGUAGAGGUGAAAUUCGUAGAUAUUCGGAGGAACACCAGUGGCGAAGGCGGCUCACUGGCUCGAUACUGACGCUGAGGUGCGAAAGCGUGGGGAGCAAACAGGAUUAGAUACCCCUGUAGUCCCAUGAU